UGUGUUAUGUGCAAGACCCAGACCCCUAGCUUGAAGGUCAAGGUCAGACUUAGAAGUCAAAUUUAAUGUUAACAGGGUCUGUUUCGUGUCCAGUUCAUAACUCUGCCAUUCAUUAAGGGAUUUUAAAUUUACUUGGCAUAGAUGCUCAUGGGCAUUUGUCACUAUUAGUGACAGCUCUUGUUUGCUUCAAGUUUUGACACCUCCUGCCUGAAAAACAAUGGUAUCAGCAGACUUUGUUCUUCACAUGUUAUCUAUAGAGCUUACAGAAUGUACUUAUUUCAAAUUAUUUAUUGUAAAGAUGAUUACUGGGCUUAUAUACAAUGUAUGUAGUUACGAGGGCAUUAUUUCUUACAAUCUUUAUGCAGACAUCUGAAGUUAAGACUGGGGUACAGGAACUUAAAAUAAAUGAUUAUUUAAAGGUAAAAUGUGAAGUUGUGUGUUCAGCAUGCAGCAUUCAAUGAUUUUGCAGGUACCACGUAAUAUUUUUUAAUGCCGACAUGUCUAAGACCUGGAAUUCGUAUACUUUUUGAACUGUCCAUCUUCCAGUCGCAUACUAUGUUGUGUACUGCACUCCUCAAGUUGCCAAACAAGGCAUACCUUGUCAACAUCCCAUGUAUUUGGGUAUGUUGUGUUAGGGCUAUCUUGUCCAGUUUUUCUUCAGUUAUGACCCUUUUUAAACUUUACAAUAUUUCACCAAAGUUUCUUAAUAUAUCUUUAUAUAAAACUUGGUAUACAUCAUAAACAUGAAGUGGACAAGUGUAUUGUCGAGACUUCACCUCAGUUACCUCAAGACAGUCAUGGCAGGUAGGGGCACAUAUGUUUGCUAAAAUUAAUGUUUGCAUUUGAUUUCACUUUAUCCAAUUAACCUUCAAGGUCAAUAUGAGGAUUUAUCGACCUCAUUUAAAGGCAGUAAUUAUACGUUAUAGAUAUAUAUUAAGAACGCAGGCUUCAGAUUAUAAGAAACUCUUCAAACGUAAAUAUUAGAAAAAAAAUUUUUUUAACUAGGUCUACCUGGUUGUUAAAAUGGGGUAUGUUGUUUUUCAGGCAGGAGGUGUCAAACAUACCAUUUCUGCUCAGUUACUUUAGUGGUGAUUGAUCUAGUGUUACCAAACUUGUUGUGUUGGUAGCAUUUUUGAGUCAAAGGUUGGGAUUGCAUUUAUGGUCAAGGUCACUGUUACUAAAGAUAUAAUAUGGUUUCCAGUCAGUAACUUCAGUUAGGAAUAAGAAACUUAGAUUGUAGGCAGCAUAGAUGGAGAUGACAGUUGGAAUUUAAGGCCACUGGGUUCAAGGUCAAGGUUACUUAAAGAUGAACAAGAGCUGCCAGCACCCUCAACUAUUUGAAGCCCUUCUGCCUAAACCCUAGUUUACAAAAGUUAAAGCAAAAUUUUCUUAGUUGAAAAAAGUGGAAAAAUUCUGCUAACAUGUGAGCCAGAGUUAUGAAAUUUUCCAUGUGAGGUCAUCCCAUGAUGCCAAAGACAUGUGGAGAAUCUGAAAACAUUUGGUCAAGUUUUACUUGUUGGUACGCCGUAAAACCCAAAUAAAUUGGUAAAGUUAUUCAUUCGGACAAGUAGUUCUAGAGAUACCAGCGUACAUGCAAAAAUUUAACCUGAAAUUCUAAGUUUAAAAGGAGUAUAAUUUUCAUAAAAUAAAUGUUAGAAUUGCGUUACACAUAUUACAACUUUUCAGUUGCUAGGAGGAGUAUUCAUAUCAAAACAUUGCAAACCUGGUUUCAUGAUGUGGAUGUGUUUCUUGUUUAUACAGCAUUUGAAGUGUGAACGCCUGUAUUGAAAGUCAUGUGUAUGCUUGUGCGUAGGUAAUUCCUGUAUGUUUUGAUGUGAAAACAAUUACAUGUAUUAGAAAUAAAGUGUAUCACUUAUCAUGUAUAAAAAAUUUAUUAGUGUCUUUAUAA
rnacentral:lncRNA from 1 species